rnacentral:lncRNA from 10 species
CUGUUUAUUGGACAUCACCGCCUGAGUAUCCCUGAGGGACACGGUUAUCCUGUUUGGAGUGUAUUGAACUUCUUGGAUACAUCGAUUAGUGUCUUUCCUCAAGUUUGAGUAAUUUGCAGUCAUUUUUCCUUUGAAAAUUCUUUCUUCUCUAUUCUGUUUCUCUCCUUGUUGAACCCCCAUCAUGCAUAGGUGUGCUCUGUUCAUUUUUCACAUUACUUUUAUUUUUCUGCUCCUCGGACUGAAUAAUCUCAAUUGACCUAUUUUAAGUUCACUGAUUCUUUUGCCUGCCCAAACCU